UGGCUGGUAAAUGAAGGAAUACUUCAAUAUCUCAUUCCAUUAAGCAAGAUACAACUUAUCAGCAUGCAGAGGAAAACAGACUCUUUCUGCAGGUGGCUUAACUUACUGUUGUUAUGCAUAGAGCUGUGGAAGAAUGUUGCCUUCAUUCCACGAGAAUCCUGGCCACGGAGAAGAGCUGAGAACUGUUAAAUAUGGAAGCAUCUAAAGGAAAACUGGAAACUGCAGUGGUACAUGAACAAUUCACAGGU